rnacentral:rRNA from 1 species
AUUGAACGCUGGCGGCAGGCCUAACACAUGCAAGUCGAGCGGCAGAGGAAGGAAGCUUGCUUUCUUGCCGGCGAGCGGCGGACGGGUGAGUAAGGUAUGGGGAUCUGGCCGAAGGCGGGGGAUAACCACUGGAAACGGUGGCUAAUACCGCAUAAUCUCUAAGGAGCAUAGUGGGGGACCGUUCAGGCCUCACACCUUCGGAUGAACCCAUAUGAGAUUAGCUAGUAGGUGGGGUAAUGGCUCACCUAGGCGACGAUCUCUAGCUGGUCUGAGAGGAUGAUCAGCCACACUGGGACUGAGACACGGCCCAGACUCCUACGGGAGGCAGCAGUGGGGAAUAUUGCACAAUGGGCGCAAGCCUGAUGCAGCCAUGCCGCGUGUAUGAAGAAGGCCUUCGGGUUGUAAAGUACUUUCAGUCGUGAGGAAGGUGUUAAGGUUAAUAACCUUAGCAAUUGACGUUAGCGACAGAAGAAGCACCGGCUAACUCCGUGCCAGCCGCCGCGGUAA